GAAACGUAACCGGGAGAGCAGGGUAAGCGGUAAAGUGUGAGACAGUGAGUGGCACAGUUGAGCUUGUUCCGGACGCUACGGAACAUGUAAUUUCUAGGGUUUCAAAAUCCCCGCCAAAACUCUCCUUUUCAGUCUCACUCUCCAUCUCCAUCUCUCAGAAUCACAUCAAUGGAGGGCGAAGAUGCUAAUCAUGAAACCACCCCCAGUCCUCCCAAAUCCAAUGCAUUACCUAAUGAUGCCACUGGCUCCCAAACAAGCUCCUUUCACCCUCCUCCUCCGCCUCCUCCUCCUCCUCCUCCUCCUCCUCCUGCUCCUGCUCCUGCUCCUCCUCUCAACUCUGCAGAUGAAACGCGCCCCAACAAGCCAUUGACUCCUCGGGAAUUCAUUCUCGCAAUCGCCUCCAACAUUGCUGCCCACCCCCUGCAGAAUUUCGAUUCUAACGUUUGGGGCGUUCUCACUGCCAUUUCCCCCAAUGCCCGUAAGCGCCAACAGGGUAUAAAUAUUCUUUUAACUGAUGAUGAACACUGCCUCGGUCGAUUGGCGCCAGAUAGUAGAUACCAGUUUGACUCUAAUUCAGUCAGCGGAAUACAUUGCAGAAUUUAUAGGAAGAGCACCGAAGAUGCCGGUCCAUCAGUUUUCCUUAAAGAUACAAGCACAAAUGGAACAUAUAUAAACUGGGAGAGGUUGAAAAAGAACAGUCAGGAGGCUAAAAUCUGCCAUGGGGACAUCAUAUCACUUGCUGCAGCUCCACAGCAUGCGGUCGCAUUUGCAUUUGUCUAUAGAGAGGUGGCUGCAUCUACUUCAUCAUCAGGUGGUGGAUCUGCAAAAAGAAAAGCAGUGGAUUCUGUUGCUGAAAACAAAAGGUUAAGAGGUCUUGGAAUUGGUGCUCCUGAUGGUCCAAUAUCUCUUGACGAUUUUCGAAGUCUUCAACGAUCAAAUAAGGAGCUUAGGAAGCAGCUGGAGGAUCAUGUGCUUAUAAUAGAUUCAUUGCGUAAUGAAAAUCGUGUAUCCGUGGAGCACCAUGAACAUGAGUUGAAAAAGCUUAAAGAGUCCAUAUCAAAAUCUUUUGAAGAUCAGAUCAUUAAGUUGCAGCAGUUGAUUGACAAUGAACAUAAGGAGCUUGGGGAGGUUCAAAGAAUAUCUUCCGAACAAAAGCAUGUUAUAGAAGAUCUUCAAGAAAGACUCAGUGCUACUGCUCAGUCAUGUAAUGAAGCAAAUGAAAUAAUAAAUAGCCAGAAGACAUCUUUAAGCGAGUUGAAGGUUCAAAUUGAUGAAGAACGUGAUCAGAGACGAGAAGAGCGAGAGAAGGCUGCUGCAGAUCUGAAGGCAGCUGUACAGAAAGCUCAUGCAGAGGCUCAAGAUGAAUUAAAACGCCUUUCUGAUGCUGCCUCAAAGCGCGAAAGAGAACAACAAGAAGUAAUCAAUAAACUUCAGGAAGGUGAGAAAGAACGGUGUUUGCUGGUGGAAACAUUGCGGUCCAAGUUGGAGGAGACUAGACAGAAAUUAGUCAUGUCGGACAAUAAAGUUCGCCAGCUAGAAUCUCAACUUGGUGAAGAGCACCUAUCCUGUAUGAAUGAAAGAAAAAAAGUUGAAGAACUUGAACGUGGAAUAAAAGAACUGCAGAAAGAGCUUGUGAGUGAAAAGCAGGGAGCAAGAGAAGAGGCUUGGUCUAAGGUAUCAUCUCUGGAACUUGAAAUAAAUGCUGCAAUACGGGAUCUUGAUUUUGAGAGGAGGAGGCUAAAAGGUGCUAGGGAAAGAAUUAUGCUUCGGGAAACACAGCUACGAGCAUUUUAUUCUACCACCGAAGAAAUUUCAGCUUUGUUUGCCAAGCAGCAGGAGCAAUUGAAAGCAAUGCAAAGGACUCUAGAAGAUGAAGAGAAUUAUGAAAACACUUCAUUUGAUUUUGAUCUCAAUGUGCCCCCUGAGCCUGCAAAUGGAAAUUUACUUGGAGAAAAUGUACGGAUGAACUAUUGUAACAAAUCUGCCAAAGCUAGUUCGGCUAUGUCAGCUCAGAGAUUUGAGCCAGUCCAAGGUGAGACGUCUGCUGACGAAGCCAGCACUGAACAGCACGACUGUGAUUUCAGAAGUCAAGAAUGUCAAAAUACUCAAGAGGCAGAAUUCACAAGUGCUGAUGCUGGUGUUAAGGGAGGUUUUGGUUCUGACAUUGAUGGCGUUGGCACAGCUCCUGUUUUGGAAGGAGACAUAGUUGGGACUGAACGGGUUCUUGAAACGGAAAGUCCUGGAGUUGAUGGUGAUCGAACCAUGGAUUUCAACAAGGGUAUGACCUUAGCAGGGGAAACAAUGUGUUUUGAUGAUGAAGGUUGUGCAGGAGAGACGGAUGAGCAGGCUAAGACGGUUCAUCAGGAAGCUUAUUGUCGGUCUCAGACAAAUCAAACAUGUGAUGCUGUCGAUGCAAUGGAAGACACUGAAGCUGGUGGAACAGUCAGAACCGCAGACCUCUUAGCUUCCGAAGUUGCUGGUAGCUGGGCUUCCAGUACUGCACCAUCCGUUCACGGUGAGAACGAGUCUCAAAGAAGCAAAAGCAACGAGGAAGAAGGUGGUGGAGCUCUUCAUGACUCGAACAGCCAGGUUACAGGGAGUCAAAGUACUCUUUUCAAGCCCGUUGCAACAAAAUGGAACUCUGAGCAUCAAACUUUAACCGAGAUGAUCAGAAUAGUUGCUCCUGAAUCAAAACAGUUUUUCCGCUCUACGAAGGAUGGUCCCGAGGGGGAAGAGGACACUGCAUCUGGCUCAGAUACAGAAAAUUGCUCAGAUAAUGAUGACAAUGCGAAUGAUAAUAAUGAAACCAAAGCCAAGGAAGGGAGAGUCUCAGAUUCAGAAACUCAAGGAGUCGACGUCGAUGUAAUGGAUCCAAAACCAGACGAUCCAAUGGAUGAAGAUGAUGAUGAUGAUACGCAAGAAGAUUCUGUAGGAUGAAAUUUGAAGAGGCUGAAGCUGUAAAUAUGGUGACAUUCUGUUCUCGUAUCUUCUUGAGCUAUUCUGGACUGAGAUUGUUAGCAGUGAAUAUGAUUAAAUGCUGUGUAAUGUAGAUGAUAAUGAAGCUCAUGAAAGUAGUAAGUUUUCCUAUGACUUCUUUCAUGGGUACCAUAUUCCUAAAAUCGUUUAAAUAGAAGCCUCUACAAAUGACCCCAAAGGGGAUUGGGGAUUCUAUACCGUAUCUAAAUUAGUUUAUACCACCAUACUUUGCAACCUGAUUCCAGAACAUUCAAUUGUCAAGAUUUGUAAGACUUUAGUAGCUCGAGUGGAAACCUAGUAUUUCAAAGUGCUGCCUUCUUUGGGUUGAAAGGUGAGAUAUUAUUAAGUCGUAAAUUUUGUUGUCA